UACGUAGGGUGCGAGCGUUGUCCGGAAUUACUGGGCGUAAAGAGCUCGUAGGCGGCUUAGUAAGUCGGGUGUGAAACCUCCAGGCUCAACCUGGAGACGCCACCCGAUACUGCUGUGGCUAGAGUCCGGUAGGGGAGCGUGGAAUUCCUGGUGUAGCGGUGAAAUGCGCAGAUAUCAGGAGGAACACCAGCGGCGAAGGCGGCGCUCUGGGCCGGUACUGACGCUGAGGAGCGAAAGCGUGGGGAGCAAACAGG
rnacentral:rRNA from 1 species